UUAGGCAUUAUACAUAAUUAUUUUAAUGGUCCGAAAUUAUUUUUAGAUUUAUAUGAAGCAAAUCUUUUAGAUACUUAAAACUUAUCUCUCUGUGAAGGAGCAUUUUAAUAUUUGUGUGUAGAAUUUUCUUUUCAGAUUUAAAACAUUCAACUUUAUCGCAUCACGUAAAUAUCUGCAUAAGAAAGAGAUACAUUCACGACAUACCUUACUUGGUUAUUUGAUAAAUUUUUAGCAAAUCGCUGUACUACUUUCAACUGAGUUUUUCAAUGGUAUUCUAUAGUGUACCUUAUAACAACUACUAUUCUUGCGUGAUCAGAAUUUCAAAGCUAAAAUGGUAAUAACUUGCGUAUUUUUCACAUUCUUAAAAAAAUAUCAUUUUUUAUUUACCUAACGUUAAUAAUCUUUUUUUAUCUGGUACUAAUAAUUCUUUCGAAAGAGAAUCAAAUGUAGCGGAUCUAUGUUGACAGAGCGAACGAGAGAAUUCGCGCUCGCGCGAGAAAGCAACGGCGUCUCGCUCAGGAAUUAAUCGGUGCAAGAGUAGCCGCGAUGCGGAUUCCACAAUGGCGCGCGGCGGGUGCUCGCGAUAUAAAUAUUUGUCUCGCGGGAGGGUGCCGAGGGCAAGUGCGAGCCUCGCGUCGCGAGGGAUGGAGGGCUCGUGAAAUAAUGGCGUGCGCGCGUAUGCGUGAAUACGCGCGGGUUCGGGGAGGUUCUCUCCCCAUUAGUCGCGUGGGGAAAGCGUACACUCUCCGGUACUUGAAAGACAAAAACAUCUUGGCCGACAGCGGCCCGCAUGUCUUCGCCUUUCAGAGGAGAGCCUGUGGGAAAGUUCGUCGGGACCUCUUCUCCUCCGCCUUUCAGUCAAGUCUUCGCGGAAACGUUUAUUGGGACGGAAAAUGGUAGCUUCUAUACAGUUUUUACACAACAAUCGUGAUGUUACGACGGUAAUAUCACGCAGCAAAACUAUUGUGUUUCGCGGAAUCUGCGCCGACGAAAAGAAUCGGUAACUUCUUUCCGACGAUUAUCUUAUAAGCUUUAUAUUCCUAUCUUAUUCAUUUUAUUAUUAUAUACUUACUUUACUAGUUUAAAAUUUAGAGUUUUAUCAUAUAUUUAUUAUUUAUAAUUAAUUAAUUGUCUCUUCAUUAAUUUUUAUAUAUAGAGAAGUAGAGAAAGCCUUUGUCUCAUCAAGUAAACACCAAGCUUUAAUUGCGAAUAUAUAAUUGACGUCGAAACUAAAGUAGGACAAAAUUUGCUGAGAAAUUAGCAAUGAUUGAUACGUCCGUAGACAUGAAUAACAUCCGACAUUAAGGUCCUUUUCGGAUGCGAAAAGCGAUCCUGUCUCCCCUUCUCACCGACGAUCGUACGUCUAUAUUCACAGCGGCGCGUAAUGGUGGCACCUCGGGAUGGCAAGGACAAAUCACUUAAGACCCGACGCUGGCAUGGCGCCGCUGCUCCCGAUGUGACAAAUUACUCCUCCAUUAUGGCCCGCCGAUGACGCGCGAUGUCAGCGAUAAAAUAUGGAAGGCGCUCGCCCGCAGUAGCGAGGUUUAAUUAGCGGAGAGACGCAAGUGUCGCGGAGCGCGCGCUGGGAUUAAUGCGAUGGCAGUUCCACUUUUAUCUCGCCGUGCGCGACUUUAAUUGCCGAGAGAUAGUUACGACGAUUCGAGCGCGUUGCCGCGUUUGCAUACGAGAGAAAACUAAGUUCCCGAGUCGCCACAUGUUAUAAUUAUUUGUAAUUUGUACGGACAAUAUUUUAUCGGCCGGUCGGAAAUUGAUUGAAUUUAUUGCGGCCGCACUUGUGGUAGUCUUCGUUGUUUCGAUAACGAGACUUGACCACGGCUCGGAUUUCCCCGUCGAAAGGCGAGUGUCUCUAUACGAUGUUAUUUUAAGACUUGAUAUUUUUUAUGAGGCAGCUGAUGCAUUUUAAUACGAUAACUGAAAUGGCGUACGUUCCAAGGAGUCCGCGAGAGCAGUAGGAUGGAUUCGGCUCUGCUGAAGAGGGGCGAGGGGCCGGAUAGGCUUUGAAUGGACGCGGGCAUUCAAUGUUUUAUCGAGGAUCUACGUCGGCUGAAUACCUCCGUCGACUACCUUUGUACCCCGGGGUCGCGUCGCGAGAUCCUUCGUUCAUGGAAUGAGAAAGUGGGAGGAGUAACGAGUCGCAAAAGGACGAAGGCUAUGUAUCGGGGGCUUCUCUCUUCGCUCCCUCUUUAUCUUCGCCGUUGAGUGGAUACUCCUCCCCCCCUUCCUCCUCUUCCCUUGUGACAAAGGUAGGUGCGCACAGGUGGUACAGCCUCUUAGUACACCCUCACGCACCACUAAUUUCCCGCUCGUUAUAGCCUCCGUAGGUGGUCAUUCAGAGGGCUCACCGAGAGACGUUUCCUCCGCAUUUGCCUAGCUUGCCUUGCAUUGUUUGCAGCGGGAAAUUAAGAAUCUACGUCGGCCUGCAGCUACUUUUGUACACAAUAUCGGUGAUUCUAAUUAUUAAAUUCUUCGAACUGCAGAAUUGCUAAGUAUUAAUUUAAGAUUUAAAAAGAAAAAGAAGAGAAAUAGAUUUUUAACAAAAUCCAUCGUUAGACGUUUUAACAAAAUUUGACUCUGCACUGAUUUCAUUUUCAAAUGUGCAUUUAAUUUUUAAUACAUUUUAUUAAAAAGAUAUUAAUAUUAUAUAAUAUUAAUUAUAUUAUUAUUUAUAUUACUAAUAUUAAUAUUAAUUAUUAAUUUUAGGAAUUGGUUUUGUGAUAAUUAAGAAUUGCGUAUCUGUUUUCUGUAUUAGAUUUAAAUUGUUCCAGAACAAUUAAAUUUUUAAUUAAUCAUCUCUUAAAAGAUAAUAAUAAAUAAUAAAUGAAGGAUCGACUUGAAACAAGGAGAGAUUUUUCGGAAAUUAAAUAUUGCACUUUGUAAAAAUAUAAUCUGCUUAAUAAAAAAAUGCAAGAAUUACUUAUAUGCAAUAAUUUUUGAAAGUGUUUACAAUUUAAUUUGUGCAUUAAUAAUCGCGCUGUACUUUCAUUAGCCUUGUUAAAUUUUGAGCCUAUUAAUUGUUUUGUUACAUAAUCUGUUUAGAUAAAUAAGAAGGUAAAAAUCUAUAAUUUAUGUAUAUUCGUAGUUUAAUUAAGUUAAAAAAUUUUUGAAAGUAGAAUUGAGAAAAUAAUUCUUCAAAUUUUCUUUUCCAAAUUAUUUUUAUAGAUAGUUUAGACAACAAUGAAUAUGUUCCUGAUAAUAUUAAAUGAGAUAUUUAGUAGUCUAAUUUAAUUUUUAUACAUUGUAGUGCUACAUGUUGCGUUCUUGUGGAACAGCAUAAGAUAUUUGUGUAAAUCAACAAAAAACGUUUUAUCAAAGUGAAAGGCUUCUAGGAAUCCUCAUGUACAUUAAUAUUCUACGGUUCGCUGAUGAUGGAGUAUCCUCGUCUGAAUUUUGUUUUACGUUACAGUCCGUCGACAUCAUAGUAUCGGUAAGAAUAUUGAUGUGUAAUAAAUAUAAUCUAUGUAAUCUUGUGUAAUAAAUGUAAUCUGAAAAUAAAGUUGUAUAUCGAUAUCAGUCUUCUUCUUAUUUCUGUAUUCUAAAAUUUCUUUUGAUGUUAGGAGUCAAAAAUCAGUUUACUCUCAAUCAUAUACACAAAAUUUUUUGUAUCGGCUUCAAGCGACGUGCCAUACGGAAUAAAAUUAAAAGAUUAUAAAUUACAUCUCCAAAAGACAACUGUGACACGUGCAACAGUUAAUUUUUGAAUACAUAAUUAAAAAUUGAUAAUCUCCCGUUAGAUAAUUGAAAAAUUUUAUUCUAUAUAUCCACUUUUAUAUUCUUUAUACUUUAUACAAUAUUUCCUCAUAUGUUUUUAAAACCCACUUCUCCUAUCUGUCACGCAUCUAUCCUUUAAUCCUUUAUCUUUAGGCUCACGUGAGCGGCCCUCGUGAUCCAACUGCAACACAAUCGAAAAUAUCCUCCAUCGCUAGCAAAUAACUGAGACUAUCAUGAACGAUAAAGCGAAAGUGUAUCGAAGUCACGUGUACCGCCGCGGGGUGAGUGCGUUUGCGCUUCCAUUUCUGCGGCGCUCAUCCCGUUUCGGGGUCGCAAACCCCCUCGAGUACGCACUCCUAAAUAGCGCCAGGCCGUCGCGCCACAUCGUCGAGCACGUACUGACUGUCAACGCGAGGGCAAAGGGGAUUAGUGUUUCAAUUAUUUGCACAAUAAGAAGCGUGACCAGGCGACGCGCGUGGACCGCGCGUCAUAUCGAGUGGCGGAGUCGCGUGACCAUGUUUAUUCGCCGUCGAAACCCCAGCGGUUGGUUGCUCCUUUGAAUGCCAUUCUCCUCUGUCAAAUCCAGCGCCCUGCCAUCGGUAAUCCGACCGUAUAGCGGUAAGACCUUCUCCUAACUUACCGGCUCCUACCUGCGCUAGGUUACGGUUACCUGGUCCCAUCUAUACGAUAGCAUGUGGGUAAAAUUGCGAGUGAUUGAAAGAACACUGUUCAUAAAA